GAUGAAGAACGUAGUGAAAUGUGAUACUUGGUGUGAAUUGCAGAAUCCCGUGAACCAUCGAGUCUUUGAACGCAAGUUGCGCCCGAAGCCAUUAGGCCGAGGGCACGCCUGCCUGGGCGUCACACGUCGUUGCCCCCCCAUCUACUCCUUCGGGAUUGCGGGGAGCGGAUGAUGGCCUCCCGUGCGCCUUGUCGCGCGGUUGGCAUAAAUGCCAAGUCCUCGGCGACGCACGCCACGACAAUCGGUGGUUGCGAAACCUCGGUUGCCCGUCGUGUGCGGUCGUCGCGCAUCGAGGGCUCGAAAAAAUUGUCGGGCUCCGGCUCGGCUUUCAACGCGACCCCAGGUCAGGCGGGGUUACCCGCUGAAUUUAAGCAUAUCAAUAAGCGGAGGA
rnacentral:misc_RNA from 1 species